rnacentral:rRNA from 2 species
GGUUUGGCACCUCGAUGUCGGCUCGUCGCAUCCUGGGGCUGGAGUCGGUCCCAAGGGUUGGGCUGUUCGCCCAUUAAAGCGGUACGCGAGCUGGGUUCAGAACGUCGUGAGACAGUUCGGUCCCUAUCCGCUGCGCGCGUUGGAAAUUUGAGAAAGGCUGUCCUUAGUACGAGAGGACCGGGACGGACGAACCUCUGGUAUGUCAGUUGUACCGCCAGGUGCAUGGCUGAUUGGCUACGUUCGGGAGGGAUAACCGCUGAAAGCAUCUAAGCGGGAAGCCUGUUUCGAGAUGAGAUUUCCUGGCACUUUGGUGUGUGAGGCUCCUUAUAGAUGAUGAGGUUGAUAGGCCGGGUAUGGAAGCGGGGACUGAAGACUCGUGGAGUUGACUGGUACUAAUAGGCCGAAGGCUUACUUU